AAUGCUGCUUGCUCUCUCAAAUUCAUGUUACUGAUUAAGUGUUAAAACUUAGAUGAGAUGUUGGUGUUUUGUGGCUCACGAAUUCGCAAUAACGGAUACAUUUAGCAAUUCGUGUUAAUUACAUUAAUCUAAACUUAUUGAUGACGUUAUACAAUGGGGGUCGAAUCCAACAUUAAUCAUGCGGAGGUUUUCAAGACGGGGUAAUGUGUAUAAAUGCAGUUAUAAAGUUUAAAGGGACUAGAUAGUCGACGUGACCUUAGUGUUUCCAUGGCAAUCGGUUAAUCACAUGUUACAUUACGUUUAUGCUCGAACCUGCGGUCCCUCGCGCUGUAUCCAUGAUUUAAAGCGGCAUGAAACACUUCCCUACUAAAAAAUCCAGCAAAGACCAGCAUAAGCUGGUAGCUGGUUUUAGCUGGUUUAAGGUGCAGGAGCUGGUUUAAGAUGGUCCUCCUAGCCUGGAAAAGUGUUUAAGCUGGUGGGUUAGCCGGUCUUCCAGCUGGAUUUUUCAGUAGGGUUAACUCCUUUGUAUGAAAAGGUGAAGUCGUGUAAGUUGGCAUGUUCUAUUCGAAUUAAAAUUAACUGUAAUGGUGUAAUUCUGCUCACUUCUCUUGUUGAAUAAUUAGCACGUUUUAAUGGAAAUCGAAAAUAUUUGUAGACAAAUGUGCUCUUGUUUUCAGUAUAUUUUAUAACUCUUUUGUAAUGUUUUCGUUAUCAGAAACCUUCAAUUUAGAAAAGUGAUGGUGAUCUUGUCAAUGCUGAGAUUUUCAUGCAUCAACAGCCACUACAUCUGGAUCAGGAUUGAACAAGAAACAGACAGCAAGGGUUGUCAGCUCAGAAACAGAAUGACACACAAACACAAGAAACUUCACAGAUGAGCCUGAAGAGGAGAUUUGGGAAGAUGAUGUUUCAUAAGUCUUUGUUUUGCCAGAUCACCAGUGGUCGGGAUGUCUGCUAACAAGAUGCCUUGCUGGUUUGGGCGAGUUUGAAGUCUCACACAGACAGUCCAGAGGUUCUGAAGUGCACGUAGGAGUUUUCCUUUACUCAAAACAUGUUCUGAGGGCAGAAAGAAUAUGAUUGGUUCACAAAAACGACCGAUCAAAAUGCUCGUUACUGGUUUAAACCCUUAGCGGAGCCUUCAAGGCAGCUUCUGCAGUGAAGCAGUUCGAGCUCACCGUUGGUAAGAUGAGUAGCGCAGAUAUGGUAAGAUAGGAAUGAGAAUGUUUCGAGCAUUUAAGUGACGUGUUUCCGUGUUUUCACGUGUCCGUGGCAUGACUUUCUUUUUCGUGCCAGUUUCACGUAUUGGUUAUUCAAUUGUUUUUCCUAUUUUCUUACCAUUGUUGCUUGGGAUUGGGGUUAGAACAACUUUCUGUUUCAUAAAAUGACAUCCUCACCCUAACCCAACUCUAACCCCAAGCAAGAACAGUUUAAAUUUCUGACAAAUAAACCUAUAAACCAAUGCCAUUCUAACCCAAACCCAACUUUAUCCUCGCGCGAAAACAGUUUAAAAAUCUGACGAAAACCACAAAUCUAACCCCAAUCCCAAGCGACGAUGGUUUGAAAAAAGGCAAAAAUAUUGAAUAACCAAUACGUGAAACUGGCACGAAAAAGAAAGUUGUGCCACGGACAUGUGAAAACACGGAAACACAUCACUUAAAUGCUCAAAACAUUUCGAGCUGAAUUCAAAAACAGUCUCAUUUCUAUCUCACCAUAUCUGCGCUACUCAUCUGACCAACGGUGAGCUCGAACUGCUUCACUGCAGAAGCUGCCUUGAAGGCUCCGCUACUUCUGGCAUCCAUCUAAGCUUUCAUUGGUAAGGGACUGCACAAGAGACUGUUAGAUCUACACAUAAAGCAACCAGUCAAUAUUUUUUGUUUUGUUAAGCAUCUCAUUUGGCGGUGUUGAAAAUAUAAGGUCGAUAUCACUUAAGCAUUCAGUAUUGGAUUCAUUUGUAACCAAAUCGAUCAGAAGCACCAUUCGCUUCCAUAGUAUUCUUUUAUCCUACUAUGCAAGUCAAUGGUGCUUCUGGUCAGUUUGGUUACAGACAUUCCUCAAAAAAUCUUCUUGUUCAUCAGGACCCUUUAAGGUGUAGAAACAUCUCAGCAACCAUCAAGAAAAAAUGGAGGCAACUGAGCUAAAUUGCAGAUGUUGUUGCAAAGGGUCUGAAUACACUGUAAAAAGAAUCCUGUGAAAAAUACAGUAACUUGCUGGCAGCAAUUAGCUAGUAAGUUGCUGUAUUUCAUUUCACAGUAUUCUUACUGUAAAUGUAAUUGCAGUAAAAUUAAAAUUACUGUUAACUCUUUUAAAGUAAUAAUCACAGUACUGUAUUUCAUAACUACUACUGUAAUAGGGAUUACUGCAUUUAUUUUGUGUACUGUAAAAUGAAGACACUGUUUGUCACAAA